AACGCGAAGAACCUUACCUGGGCUCGAACGGCUUUGGAUCAUCCUUGGAAACAGGGACUUCUCGCAAGAGACCGGAGUCGAGGUGCUGCAUGGCUGUCGUCAGCUCGUGUCGUGAGAUGUUGGGUUAAGUCCCGCAACGAGCGCAACCCUUGUCCUGUGUUGCCACUCCCGCAAGGGAAGCACUCUCAGGAGACCGCCAGCGAUAAGCUGGAGGAAGGUGGGGAUGAUGUCAAGUCAUCAUGGCCUUUAUGUCCAGGGCUACACACGUGCUACAAUGGGCGGUACAAAGCGCUGCAAACCCGCGAGGGGGAGCCAAUCGCAAAAAACCGUUCUCAGUUCGGAUCGCAGGCUGCAACUCGCCUGCGUGAAGCUGGAAUCGCUAGUAAUGGUGUAUCAGAAUGAUACCGUGAAUACGUUCCCGGGCCUUGUA
rnacentral:rRNA from 1 species